CGGGACACCACCCUGACAUUACCGUGUGUUACAGGCUCAAGGAGCCCCCAGAAAUACUGAGGGGGUCAGCCAUAGUGCACACUCAGGUCACAGAGCACCCCAUGUUUGGGCCACAGUCAUGACAAGUAGUUUCCGCUGCAAGUAAACUUUUGUCCGUUAUCAUACUGAGAGCCAUUAAGUGUCACCACCAAUGUGUCUGAAGUCCCAUUUGACAGAAGAUAACCAUUAUUUUCCCAUUUCAAAUGUGGGGAUGGAUAACCAUUAAGCCAACUGCAUGUCAAUGACAAUCCCGAAGGAGCCCCUGUGUUCUCUACAUUGCAUGCCAUAUAAGAAACAAUUCAGUGUAUGUAAAAAUAAGGGCUCAUGCACUGCAACAUGGAGCUUGUAUGGCUCAGAGGGACUCUGGAAUGUUCCAAAAGAAGACUACAUCCAUAUACAUAUACGGGGCAUUUAUCAUCGUUGCUUUGAUCUGUGUAUCCUGUGGAAUACUUUAGAUUCUGAGGAGUACAGUGACCAGCUUUUUUUUUUUUUUUGUUUACUGUUAAUAAAAUGGUUAACGAUGGCUUGUGGGGAA